CUGAUCUUGUUGAUCCUCAGGUAGGCUGAAUACCAAUUUUUUUGUUGUUUGCAAGAAACUAUGUGUAAUAUCAAAGCGUUUUGCUUCUGCUAUAUAAGACUACGGAUAAGCAUUUUCCUUUGAUGUGGCCACAGCUUGAUCCACCGGUUAAAUAGGCAUUUGAUGUUGCGUAGGAUAACAUAUAUGCAAUUAUGCUCAAAAGGCUUCCCCAGUGAAAGUUGAGAACAUGAAAGGUUGUAGAUGCAAGCGACUAUCAAAGUGAAUUACUUCUGUGGGUCUUUAGGGGAACUGCCGUUUUACCUUCAACAGCUCCCAUGCUUGCAGUGGUAAUUUGUCUAAUUUUCUGUUCAAAGCCUGCACAGAUUGCAGGAUGCAAAGUUGUUGUUCUGUCCACUACCCCAGGAAAAGAUGGCAGCAUCUGCAAGGAGGUGCUUUAUUUAUCAAAAAAAAGCUGGUGUGACUCGUAUUUUUAAAGCCGGGGGAGCUCAGGCCAUUUCAGCUAUGGCGUGCGGAACUUUAUCUUGUCCUUAGGUGGAGAAAAUUUUUUGGACCUGGAAAUCAGUAUAUCACAGCUGCAAAAAGGAUUCUUCAGGUUCCGGGCCUAACGAUUCCGGGUCCGGUUCCUAAAUUGAUGGACCCGGAACCGGACCCGAUAAAAAUCUUAAAUACCUGUUGGGUCUGGAUAUUUAUCGGGUCCUCUAAAAUGAAUUAUAAUUUGUGAUAAUCUAUUUUUAUACUUGUUAUGUUACAUUGAAUUUGAUUAUUUUCAUAUAAAAUUAUCAUUAU